UACGUAGGUGGCAAGCGUUGUCCGGAUUUAUUGGGUUUAAAGGGUGCGUAGGCGGCUUUGUAAGUCAGUGGUGAAAUAUGGCAGCUCAACUGUCAAGGUGCCAUUGAUACUGCAGAGCUUGAGUACAGAUGAGGUAGGCGGAAUUGACGGUGUAGCGGUGAAAUGCUUAGAUAUGACACAGAACACCGAUUGCGAAGGCAGCUCACUAAAACUGUAACUGACGCUGAGGCACGAAAGCGUGGGGGAGCAAACAGG
rnacentral:rRNA from 1 species